rnacentral:misc_RNA from 1 species
CAGGAGAGUUGCUAUUUGGCAUCCACACUCUUGCAACAUCCGGUUCAUCUUGAAGAGAAAACACUCGCCCUUUACAUUUGCGAAUCCUCUCAAACUCCGCUGGUAAAUCGGGCUUAAGAUCUACUGUCAAUUGCACUGCAGUGAGAGAAUCAUCCUCGCCUCUCGUACCCAGCACAGCUCUAGAGUCUCCAACAUUACCAAUAACAAGAUGCUCACCCUGUUUAACUAGCGUUACUGCUGUUGUUCCACUACAGAAGCAGUCGAUAUUG